rnacentral:rRNA from 1 species
UACGUAGGCAGCGAGCGUUGUUCGGAGUUACUGGGCGUAAAGCGUGCGUAGGCGGUGGUCCAAGUCUGGUGUGAAAUCUCCCGGCUCAACUGGGAGGGUGCGCCGGAAACUGGGCCGCUGGAGUAUGGGAGAGGCAAGCGGAAUUCCAGGUGUAGCGGUGAAAUGCGUAGAUAUCUGGAGGAACACCCGUGGUGCAGACGGCUUGCUGGACCAUUACUGACGCUGAGGCACGAAAGCGUGGGUAGCAAACAGG